UCCUGCUCCAGAAUGGAGUUUGCAGAAGCAAUGUCAUUCAAAACCCUGAGCAGUUGAUGGAAUAACUAUCAAAUUGAAGACUAAGCUCCAGCUUGAACUUGGAUUUCCAGGUUGAUGCCCACAAGUCCUCAAGUCGGGACCCACAAAAGGAUAGAAGAGCAAAGAGAAGUGGAGCUCCUACAGUUCACUUUAUCAUGCAAAGGAGGCUGAGUCAAGAGACUCCAGAAUUCUUCAAGAGGAUUUGAACUAAAUUAAUUUCAUUUGGCUUCAAAUUACUGAGGUAAGGCUACUACGUAUGGCUGUGCACAAUGACCUUGCAAUGAAGCCUUUCACAGCAUCUGCCUCUUCAAUUUUUACUGUCAGUGAAGGACUAAAAAUCCAUACUUUGAACCUGAAGUGUUCUCUGCAUAAGUAGAUCUCAAGCAUGCUGCCUGUUCCUAUAUAUCCGCAAAUUUCUAUGAGCAAAGAAAUUGGCAAGUCAUUGUCACCCUCUGGGUCAGCCAAGGAAACAUGUUCUCAUCCCUGGAAACCCAUACAAUAGUCUUCUAAUCUCUUCAUAGAGUGUCAACUUGGCAAAAGAGAUCCCAGUGUACCAGCAGCAUCCAUAACACUGAUUGUAGGAUCCUCAAACAAGAGAUUUCUCUCUUUACUCAUAAAAACAUGGAAUGAAUGCAUUCGUGAAGUCGACUCUGUAUAUAUGCCAUCUUAUAAAUGAAAUAAUUCUUGUCAAAUUACUCAGUGACAUUUUAUGGGUUUCAAGAAAGAGUGAAACUUCUGCCCAAAGAUCAGUGAAGCACAUCAAGAUACGACCUCUAAGAUGUCAGUAAACUUCUAUGAAUUCGAUAAGAAUGUUUAUUUUGUCCCAUUUAUUUCCAAGAUGAUGAUUUAUGGCCCCAGUUCUCACAUUGUUAGCCACUUUCGUGGAAGGAGAAGAGGCUUAUUUCAGGAUUUCCGGCAGUAUUAUUUUUAUUACAAUGUAUACCGAUGUAGAAAAGUCUUAAACCACAAUGGUAAGUGAAGCUUUUUUCUUCACAAAAGUCAUGAAGGAUAAAGGCUGCCAAGCUCUUAAGGUGUUACAUCACGCACAAAAUACCAAGAAUUUCAUCCAGACCAAAUUUUGCUUGGCAAAGAAAUUUAUACUAUUUAAAGACCUUUGAAUAUUCCCAAAGAGAUGGACAAAAAUAGGAAUUCUUCCUUAAUGACAUUAGUGUGCACAUAGAUGAAAAUCAGAAGCUGCCUUCACUCAGAGACAAGAGCAAUCUGUUUCAAUUGUUGCCAAGUCUUCUAGGACCUUCUUCUAAGUUAUAAAAUAAAUGUCCAUAAUUCUGGAGUUGAUGACACUGAUUGACCAAGGCACUGGUUCGUAUUUUUCUCUUGCUCCUAAUUAUAAAUCAUCCAUCACUUCACCAAGUUCUUUCAGAUCGUGGCUUCCUUCAUUACGGGAUGCUCUGAGCAGGAUUCCACACAAAGUCUUAAUGUUGCCACAAAUCUGAGAUUUUUUUCAAAUUUCCUUCAUUUCAAACUGAAAAUUAUUCUCAUGGAGAAGAUGUGUGCAAGUCAAUAUAUUUUCAAGGUAGGAAAACGUGUCAUACACAAGCAGGUUCAUUGGCUUCCUUUUUCCGUUGUCAAGAACCUUAUUUAUGAUAUGUGAGUAGUGCUCACGACAAUGUUUUCAGUGAUAGAACAUGUGAGUUUCUUUCCUAUUUCUCUUUGUACCACUUUUUAAUUAAGUUGAUCAAACGCAAAUAAAAACAGAUGUCCACA
ensembl:lncRNA